CCUACGGGGGGCAGCAGUGGGGAAUAUUGCACAAUGGGUGCAAGCCUGAUGCAGCCAUGCCGCGUGUGUGAAGAAGGCCUUCGGGUUGUAAAGCACUUUCAGCGGGGAGGAAGGCGUUAAGGUUAAUAACCUUGGCGAUUGACGUUACCCGCAGAAGAAGCACCGGCUAGCUCCGUGCCAGCAGCCGCGGUAAUACGGAGGGUGCAAGCGUUAAUCGGAAUUACUGGGCGUAAAGCGCACGCAGGCGGUCUGUCAAGUCGGAUGUGAAAUCCCCGGGCUCAACCUGGGAACUGCAUUCGAAACUGGCGGGCUAGGGUCUUGUAGAGGGGGGUAGAAUUCCAGGUGUAGCGGUGAAAUGCGUAGGGAUCUGGGGGAAUACCGGUGGCGAAGGCGGCCCCCUGGACAAAAACUGACGCUCAGGUGCGAAAGCGUGGGAGCAAACAGGAUUAGAUACCCGGGUAGUC
rnacentral:rRNA from 1 species